rnacentral:rRNA from 1 species
ACCCAUGGUUUAAAUAAGCUGAAAGAACCAAAUCCCAUCUGAUCUUGGAAGCUAAGCAGGGUGAGGCUUGGUUAGCAUCUGAAAGGAAGACUGUUAAGGAAUCCCACAUGCUGUGAGCU